rnacentral:sRNA from 1 species
UUAUGGUUGAGGCCGCUGAGGUGUUUAAUAAAGGAGUUGAAAGCGACUGAUCUUUCUGAUUCCUGGUUGUUAAAUGCCCUAUUAACGCGCCGCACUACCAAUGGCAUAGACCAACCAUCAUACAAAGCAUGGUGUAUUGUCAAGACAAAAUGGACUUUGCCUGUUGUCUCAUUUGAGGGUCGUGCCAGCACGCCAUGUGAUCCCAUCUUUCAAAACAACCUGCAUGAG